ACCCUCACUUCUAUUUCCACCCAAGCACGAUACACAACACCGAAAAUACAUGAACAUAUAUCAAUAUUCAAUAUUAUUGAAUAAUAGUUCCCUUUAGAAAAAAUUUCAAACAGAAGUCAAUUGUAAAAAUUGUAUUGUAACAACUGGAACUCUAGUAACUUCACACAGUAAACGCAAUACCCAAAUCAAAAGAAACUAAAAUACAAAUGGAAAACGAAGAACGCGAAGUUUACAAAGUCCUGCGAAGCCGCACAGUUUACUAUACUGAGCCGAAGAGAAGGAGGCGAAACCGCAGACCAGUUGAAGUCCAUGAAGAUCCCCAAAGCGAUGAAGAUCCCCAAAGCGAUGAAGAUGCCUCAAGAUCCCUCCAAGUCUGCGAUAAUAGUCCCAAAACUGAAGUGACAAAUCAAGGACGCUCGAGAGCUAGAUUUAGAUUCGGUUCCUGCGUAAUAUGCUAGAGGCCCAUCUCUCUAAAUCGGGGGAAAUCAUUGUGGAAAAUAGUGUAGAUAGUGAGACAGAGGAAUCCGAACCCAAGUCAGUGGAGAUAUAGUAGUCGAAAAUAGUGCGAUGCCAAGGUGAUGUACAUAUUGAAGUAGUUCCAUUUAUGAUGCAAUUGAAACAAACGCACAACCCCAAAAACAAGUUAAUAUUUCUCAUUCCAAAGCAGAAGUUCAUACGAUGAUUUCUAUAUAUUUUAUAUAAUGUUCAUUUUGUUUACACGGGCACAGGUCGAAAGUGCCUUUGAACCUGUGUGUGCCACCGACUGAAACAAAAAGCCACGAUGUCGGCACAAAGGAGCUGCGGCAGGUUCUAAGGACUCAAAGGAACAGCGAACUCUCAAUUUGGAAUCGAACCAAUUAGUUGUCCUUUGUGCGCUGGCACCUUUGUCGCCUGGAUUUCGCAAACAGCAACGUUUAUGAUUUCCAUUUUCCCAUGGCCCAGUGACCCAUUUGCCAUGGCUUUUCCCCAGAUUGCCACUGUUUUACGGUGGCCAAGGCGGCGAGUCCUGUUACGGAGUCGAGGAUCCUUUUUUCUUUUUGCAGUUGUGAGCCGUGGAAGGAGCGCAGCGGGGCGUGCGGUGCAAAGAUCAGAGGAGCGGCCCGCCGCGGGGCGCCCUCAACUGAUGAUCGUUUCGACACCCCAUUUAUGCGGCGUUCUCUUUUCUUGUUUUGCUCCUCUGCUUCCCUUUGGCCCGCUCCUGUUCGCCAUGCACUGGGAGAAAAGCAAUGGAUAUGCGCCAUGUCUUAUUUGUGUAUUUCGUCGUUCUUAUGUGAUUAAAAUUGUUAAUUGUCACGCACAA